UACAGAGGGCGCGAGCGUUGACCGGAAUCACUGGGCGUAAAGGGCGCGUAGGUGGCCACCAUAAGGCCGCGGUGAAAGUCUGGAGCUCAACUCCAGAUCUGCCGCGGCGACUGUGGGGCUUGGGCACCGUAGAGGCAGAUGGAAUUCCGGGUGUAGCGGUGGAAUGCGUAGAGAUCCGGAGGAAGACCGGUGGCGAAGGCGGUCUGCUGGGCAGUUUCUGACACUGAGGCGCGACAGCGUGGGGAGCAAACAGG
rnacentral:rRNA from 1 species